UACAGAGGUGGCAAGCGUUGUUCGGAAUUAUUGGGCGUAAAGGGCGCGUAGGCGGCUUUGCAAGUGACGGGUGAAAUCCCUCGGCUUAACCGAGGAACUGCCUGUCAGACUGUGAGGCUUGAGACCGGGAGAGGUGAGUGGAAUUCCCAGUGUAGCGGUGAAAUGCGUAGAUAUUGGGAGGAACACCAGUGGCGAAGGCGGCUCACUGGACCGGAACUGACGCUGAGGCGCGAAAGCGUGGGGAGCAAACAGG
rnacentral:rRNA from 1 species